rnacentral:rRNA from 1 species
GGGGAAUUUUGCGCAAUGGGGGCAACCCUGACGCAGCAACGCCGCGUGAGUGAUGAAGGCUUUCGGGUCGUAAAGCUCUGUCGAGAGGGAAGAAAUGUUUUGUGGUUAAUACCCAUGAUACUUGACGGUACCUCUGAAGGAAGCACCGGCUAACUCCGUGCC